GUACCCUCUUCGGUAGUACAAAAUUAAAAUAUUACAGAGAAGAUUAGCAUAGCCUCUGCGCAAGAAUGACACGCAAAAUCAUGAAGCUUUUCUUAUUUUU
ensembl:snRNA U6 U6 spliceosomal RNA